rnacentral:rRNA from 1 species
GACGAACGCUGGCGGCGUGCUUAACACAUGCAAGUCGAGCGGUAAGGCCCUUUCGGGGGUACACGAGCGGCGAACGGGUGAGUAACACGUGGGUGACCUGCCUUUAGCUCUGGGAUAAGCCUGGGAAACUGGGUCUAAUACCGGAUAUGACCCUAUGGCGCAUGUUGUGGGGUGGAAAGCCUUGUGCGGCUAGGGAUGGGCCCGCGGCCUAUCAGCUUGUUGGUGGGGUGAUGGCCUACCAAGGCGACGACGGGUAGCCGGCCUGAGAGGGCGACCGGCCACACUGGGACUGAGACACGGCCCAGACUCCUACGGGAGGCAGCAGUGGGGAAGUCUUGCGCAAUGGGCGAAAGCCUGACGCAGCGACGCCGCGUGAGGGAUGACGGCCUCGGUU